AUACUUUCAACAACGGAUCUCUUGGUUCCAGCAUCGAUGAAGUAACGCAGCGAAAUGCGAUAAGUAAUGUGAAUUGCAGAAUUCAUUUAAUCAUCGAAUCUUUGAACGCACAUUGCGCCCCUUGGUAUUCCGGGGGGCAUGCCUGUUCGAGCGUCAUU
rnacentral:rRNA from 1 species